rnacentral:rRNA from 1 species
CAGCCGCCACGGUAAUACGUAGGGGGCAAGCGUUAUCCGGAAUUAUUGGGCGUAAAGAGUGCGUAGGUGGUCUACUAAGCGCGAGGUGAAAGGCAAUGGCUCAACCAUUGUUAGCCUUGCGAACUGGCAGACUUGAGUGCAAGAGAGGAAAGCGGAAUUCCUAGUGUAGCGGUGAAAUGCGCAGAUAUUAGGAGGAACACCGGCGGCGAAGGCGGCUUUCUGGAUUGUAACUGACACUGAGGCACGAAAGCGUGGGUAGCAAACAGGAUUAGAUACCCGCGUAGUCCCUGUCUCUUAUACC